UGGGGAAUCUUGCACCAUGGGGGCAACCCUGAUGCAGCGACGCCGCGUGAGCGAUGAAGCCCUUCGGGACGUAAAGCUCUUUCGACCGGAACGAUAAUGACGGUACCGGGAGAAGAAGCUGCGGCUAACUACGUGCCAGCAGCCGCGGCAAUACGUAGGCAGCAAGCGUUGUUCGGAGUUACUGGGCGUAAAGAGUGCGUAGGCGGUUUUCUAAGUUCGGUGUGAAAUCUCCCGGCUUAACUGGGAGGGUGCGCGGAAGACUGGGAAGCUGUAGUGUGGGAAAGGCAGGCGGAAUUCCUAGUGGUGCGGUGAAAUGCGUAGAUAUCAGGAGGAACACCGGCGGUGUAGACGGCUUGCUAGACCAUAACUGACGCUGAGGCACGAAAGCGUGGGUAGCAAACA
rnacentral:rRNA from 1 species